rnacentral:rRNA from 1 species
AUACGUAGGUGGCAAGCGUUGUCCGGAUUUACUGGGUGUAAAGGGCGUGUAGGCGGAGAUGCAAGUCAGGAGUGAAAUCUAGGGGCUCAACCCCUAAACUGCUUUUGAAACUGUAUCCCUUGAGUAUCGGAGAGGCAGGCGGAAUUCCUAGUGUAGCGGUGAAAUGCGUAGAUAUUAGGAGGAACACCAGUGGCGAAGGCGGCCUGCUGGACGACAACUGACGCUGAGGCGCGAAAGCGUGGGGAGCAAACAGGAGUAGAUACCCUGGUAGUCCACGCUGUAAACGAUGAAUACUAGGUGUGGGGGGACUGACACCCUCCGUGCCGCAGUUAACACAAUAAGUAUUCCACCUGGGGAGUACGGCCGCAAGGUUGAAACUUAAAGGAAUUGACGGGG